UGAUGGGGAACCUGAUGUAAGGAAGGAUUUGAUUUGAAGGAGGUGUGGUCCUCAUACUGAAAAAUGUGGAGUCUCCUGCCUUAGAACACGGUAAUACAUCAUUUGAAUUGUAUUUUUAUACUUCUAUAGGUAGUGGCUGGGAUGAACUAUAAACUGACCAUAGUGCUGGUACAAACACAAUGCACGAAAAAAGAUGAAAUUUCUCCAUCCUGUGACAAGCCAUCAUCCAAGUGUCGUACUGAAAAGUGUGUUUGCUCGGUGUAUGAUGUACCCUGGGAAAACGAAAGGACACUUGUUAGCCUGAUGUGUAAAGAUCUAUAAAUGCUUUUCCAAGUCUUCCUGGAAAAUGGUUUUCCUGUGUCUUCCUACUGGAUAACGUGGCUACUAGUACUGUGAAUGUAAUCAUUUUCAAAGUGUUUCUUAGAUACAUUCCUAAAUUUGAAUGUUGCCCGUAAGUGAAAACAGUUUGAGGCAACCACCUGUCUAGAAUGGCAUAACCUUUGUUUGUCCAAUUCUUCCUAUAAUCAAUAAAUUUGGUUCUUAUCUGCA